GCAAACUUGGUCAUUUAGAGGAAGUAAAAGUCGUAACAAGGUCUCCGUUGGUGAACCAGCGGAGGGAUCAUUACAGGGUCUGACGACUGCCCAAACCAAACCGUGAACUAUUUACUUAAAAAAUGCUUUGGCAGGCCGCUCGCUGGGGGAGCCUUGGACCGCCGUGAGGUGGUUGGGCUGCCGAAGGCAUGUAAAUCAAAACUCACUGAAUAACUUUCUGAGAAAAUAUUACCUCCCUCGGGAGAAAAAAUAUCACAACUCAUAACAAUGGAUCUCUUGGCUCUGGCAUCGAUGAAGAACGCAGC
rnacentral:misc_RNA from 1 species